GUAACAAGGUUUCCGUAGGUGAACCUGCGGAAGGAUCAUUACCGAGUGCGGGCUGCCUCCGGGCGCCCAACCUCCCACCCGUGACUACCUAACACUGUUGCUUCGGCGGGGAGCCCCCUAGGGGCGAGCCGCCGGGGACCACUGAACUUCAUGCCUGAGAGUGAUGCAGUCUGAGCCUGAAUACAAAUCAGUCAAAACUUUCAACAAUGGAUCUCUUGGUUCCGGCAUCGAUGAAGAACGCAGCGAACUGCGAUAAGUAAUGUGAAUUGCAGAAUUCAGUGAAUCAUCGAGUCUUUGAACGCACAUUGCGCCCCCUGGCAUUCCGGGGGGCAUGCCUGUCCGAGCGUCAUUGCUGCCCUCAAGCCCGGCUUGUGUGUUGGGUCGUCGUCCCCCCCGGGGGACGGGCCCGAAAGGCAGCGGCGGCACCGUGUCCGGUCCUCGAGCGUAUGGGGCUUUGUCACCCGCUCGAUUAGGGCCGGCCGGGCGCCAGCCGGCGUCUCCAACCUUAUUUUUCUCAGGUUGACCUCGGAUCAGGUAGGGAUACCCGCUGAACUUAAGCAUAUCA
rnacentral:misc_RNA from 1 species